UGAGAGAGAUAGAUGUUAUAGAUGUAUCAAAGCAGGAGGAUUAUGAAAUGUUGAUGAGGGAAUGGACGGAGUAUUAUAACAGUCCAAUAAGUCACAAAGUAGACAACGUCAUCAGUCUGGAGUUCUCCAAUACAAAGAUGUCCGAGCUGGUCUUCCCUUCCUCCAUUGUCCGCAACUUGAGUUGGGUCAGUAAUUAUUUCCCUGAGCAGCUGCCUGAUGACUGCACAUACACACGACCUGAAGUCCAGAAGUAUUGUCUGA